rnacentral:rRNA from 1 species
GAUGAACGCUGGCGGCGUGCCUAACACAUGCAAGUCGAGCGAACGGACUCGUGCCUUCCUGCGCUGAUGAUAGGGGAGGGCGGGAGAGUAACACGUGGGUAACCUACCUAUCAUCCUGGUAUAACUGCGGGAAACCGGCUCUAAUACCGUAUAAUAUUUUUAACCGUACGGUUCAGGAGUGAAAGACGGUCUUGCUAUCAGUUAUCGAUGUAUCCGCGCUGCAUUAGCUAGAUGGGCAGGUAACGGCUUACCAAGGCAACGAUGCAUAGCCGAGCGCGGCGGGGGGUCGGCCACACUGGAACUGAGACACGGACCAGACUCCUACGGGAGGCAGCAGUAGGGAAUCUUACGCAAUGGGCGAGAGCAUGACGGAGCAACGCCGCGUGAGUGAUGACGGUCUUCGGAUCGUAAAAAUCUGUUAUUAGGGAAGAACAUAUGUGUAAGUAACUGUGCACAUCUUGACGGUACCUAAUCAGAAAGCCACGGCUAACUACGUG